AAAACGACUCUCGGCAACGGAUAUCUCGGCUCUCGCAUCGAUGAAGAACGCAGCGAAAUGCGAUACUUGGUGUGAAUUGCAGAAUCCCGUGAACCAUCGAGUUUUUGAACGCAAGUUGCGCCCGAAGCCUUUUGGUCGAGGGCACGUCUGCCUGGGUGUCACGC
rnacentral:rRNA from 2 species